CUAAUGAAGUAAUGAUGGUUGGGGAUAACCUUAAAGAUGAUGUUGCUUGUGGGAAACGAGCGGGAGCAUUUACAUGCUUGCUUGACAAAACAGGGAGGAAUAGUCUCCAUCGCUCGAACUCCCCCGAACUGGAUCAUCCCCCGAACUCCCUCCCAGGUAUUCUCAUCUGAUCCAGCUUACAAUACCGGAGAUUGUAGAGGGAUCUAAUUGGUUGAUUGUAGAGGGACCACCGAUCACUGUCUUCUGAUG